UACGUAGGGUGCGAGCGUUGUCCGGAAUUAUUGGGCGUAAAGAGCUCGUAGGCGGUUUGUCGCGUCGACUGUGAAAACCUACAGCUUAACUGUGGGCUUGCAGUCGAUACGGGCAGACUUGAGUUCGGUAGGGGAGACUGGAAUUCCUGGUGUAGCGGUGAAAUGCGCAGAGUAUCAAGGAGGAACACCGGUGGCGAAGGCGGGUCUCUGGGCCGAUACUGACGCUGAGGAGCGAAAGCGUGGGGAGCGAACAGGA
rnacentral:rRNA from 1 species